rnacentral:rRNA from 1 species
GCAAGAUUAAAACUCAAAGGAAUAGACGGGGACCCGCACAAGCGGUGGAGCAUGUGGUUUAAUUCGACGAUACGCGAAGAACCUUACCUGGCCUUGACAUAGACAGAAUUUUCCAGAGACGGAAAAGUGCUAGUUUACUAGAACUGUCAUACAGGUGCCGCACGGCUGUCGUCAGCUCGUGUCGUGAGAUGUUGGGUUAAGUCCCGCAACGAGCGCAACCCUCGUGUUUAGUUACUAACAGUUCGGCUGAGGACUCUAAACAGACUGCCUGGGUAACCAGGAGGAAGGUGAGGACGACGUCAAGUCAUCAUGGCCCUUACGGCCAGGGCUGCACACGUGCUACAAUGGGGUAUACAAAGAGCUGCAAUACGGUGACGUGGAGCAAAUCUCAUAAAAUAUUUCCCAGUUCGGAUUGAAGUCUGCAACUCGACUUCAUGAAGUUGGAAUCGCUAGUAAUCGUAGAUCAGCAAUGCUACGGUGAAUACGUUCCCGGGUCUUGUACUCACCGCCCGUCACACCAUGGGAAUUGAAUUCAUUCGAAGCGGGGAUGCUAAAAUAGCUACCUUCCACAGUGGAUUUAGUAACUAGGGUGAAGUCGUAACAAGGUA